rnacentral:tRNA from 1 species
GGAGAUGUCGCAUAGUGGCCUAGUGCGCCUCCCUGCUAAGGAGGUUGGGGCGUUCGCCCCUCGAGGGUUCAAAUCCCUCCAUCUCCGCCA